AGAGUUUGAUCCUGGCUCAGAUUGAACGCUGGCGGCGUGCUUAACACAUGCAAGUCGAGCGAGAAAGUUCUCUUCGGAGAAUGAGUAGAGCGGCGCACGGGUGAGUAACGCGUGGAUAAUCUGCCCCGAAGAUCGGGAUAACAGUUGGAAACGACUGCUAAUACCGAAUGUUCUGCAUAUUUAACUUUAUGUGGUAAAGAUGGCCUCUAUUUAUAAGCUAUCGCUUUGGGAUGAGUCCGCGUCUCAUUAGAUAGUUGGUGGGGUAAUGGCCUACCAAGUCAACGAUGAGUAGCUGGUCUGAGAGGAUGAUCAGCCACACUGGGACUGAAACACGGCCCAGACUCCUACGGGAGGCAGCAGUGGGGAAUAUUGCGCAAUGGGGGAAACCCUGACGCAGCGACGCCGCGUGCGGGAAGAAGGCCUUCGGGUCGUAAACCGCUGUCAGGAGGGAAGAAACUGUUAGAGUCGAAUAGGCUCUUUCACUGACGGUACCUCCAGAGA
rnacentral:rRNA from 1 species